UACGGGGGGGGGCAAGCGUUUGUUCGGAAUUACUGGGCGUAAAGGGCUCGUAGGCGGCCAACUAAGUCAUACGUGAAAUCCCUCGGCUUAACCGGGGAACUGCGUCUGAUACUGGAUGGCUUGAGUUCGGGAGAGGGAUGCGGAAUUCCAGGUGUAGCGGUGAAAUGCGUAGAUAUCAGGAGGAACACCGGUGGCGAAGGCGGCUACCUGGACGGUCACUGACGCUGAGACGCGAAAGCGUGGGGAGCAAACAGG
rnacentral:rRNA from 1 species